AUUGAACGCUGGCGGCAUGCCUUACACAUGCAAGUCGAACGGCAGCAUGGAGAGCUUGCUCUCUGAUGGCGAGUGGCGAACGGGUGAGUAAAGCAUCGGAACGUACCGUGUAGUGGGGGAUAACGUAGCGAAAGUUACGCUAAUACCGCAUACGCACUGAGGUGGAAAGCAGGGGAUCGCAAGACCUUGCGCUAUACGAGCGGCCGAUGUCAGAUUAGCUAGUUGGUAGGGUAAAGGCCUACCAAGGCGACGAUCUGUAGCGGGUCUGAGAGGAUGAUCCGCCACACUGGGACUGAGACACGGCCCAGACUCCUACGGGAGGCAGCAGUGGGGAAUUUUGGACAAUGGGGGCAACCCUGAUCCAGCCAUGCCGCGUGAGUGAAGAAGGCCUUCGGGUUGUAAAGCUCUUUCGGCCGGGAAGAAAUCGCACAGGCUAAUACUCUGUGUGGAUGACGGUACCGGCAUAAGAAGCACCGGCUAACUACGUGCCAGCCGCCGCGGUAA
rnacentral:rRNA from 1 species